AUUGCUCUGUGGCUAGUUGGGUGCGAGUGCUAUAAGGGAAUAAUCUGAACUAAACUCCCAAAUAAGUCACUUUUUUCAACAUGUGCCCAUCAGGGCUUGGCUGAAUGCAUAUUUGAGUGUAUGAUUCAGAGUUAUAGCAUAUCAAAUGACUUUCUUUAAUUAAAUCUCAGAAAAAGAAGGAAAAAAAGAGAAAGCUCAUGAGAAGACAGCUGUCCCUGAAAUUAAAAAAGCAGCUGUGAAAUUAUAAAUUUUGCAACAGGGAAUGCAGGCCAUGGCUACGUCACCUUUGUACAAGGCAGUGAAGCAACUGGAACAUGCAUGUUGAUAUGAUGUCCAAAGUGGAGAAGGAACAGAAAAAAAGUCACUGAAGUGAUUUACAAAUUAAGGAUAUUCUUCAUCAAGAGUGAUAAAGUAUUCAUCUCUUUAAAGGGAAUUGACUUUUUUAUUGUGGAUACUAAGUACCUUCAGAGAAAAGAGAUUCUGCCUACUGCAGCUCCUUUAAUGUAGUAGGAAAAGUUUAACAAGGAUGAAUAGCUGGGAGCUGAAGCUAAGUGAAUCCAGACUGAAUAUGAGAUAAAAAAGAAGCUGCUGUGUCCAAAGAACUCAAAAAGCCAGCAAAAGACCCUGCAGCUAAUCCAUCCACCAAAAAAGCAGUAACACCAGAAACACAUAGGAAAGAAAAAAUGGUGGAUACUGCCAAAACAGCAAAGAAAGAAGCAAA